UGAAGUAAGUAAGGGCGUACGGUGAAUGCCUUGGUGCCAACAGGCGAAGAAGGACGCGGCAAGCUGCGAAAAGCCUCGGGAAGCUGCAAGCAAGCGAUGAUCCGGGGAUAUCCGAAUGGGGUAACCUGAUCGAGGCAAUACUCGAUCGUUCAUACCUGAAUACAUAGGGUAUGAAACGCGAAACCCGCUGAAGUGAAACAUCUCAGUAAGCGGAGGAAAAGAAAGAGAAAUCGAUUCCGUAAGUAGUGGCGAGCGAAAGCGGAUGGAGCCCAAACCGAAGGUAUUCCUUCGGGGUUGUAGGACCACGACCUAUUCGACCAUACUGGAUAGUAGAACAGCCUGGAAAGGCUGGCCGUAGAAGGUGAAAGCCCUGUAGACGAAAUCCAGAGUGGGAAUUAGUGGUAUCCUGAGUAAUACAUCACACGUGGAACGAUGUAUGAAACCGCGCGGACCACCGCGCAAGGCUAAAUACUAGUUGGCGACCGAUAGUGAACAAGUACCGCGAGGGAAAGGUGAAAAGAACCGCUGUGAGCGGAGUGAAAUAGAACCUGAAACCGUAUGUCUACAAAGUGUCAGAGCAGAGCAAUCUGCGAUGGCGUGCCUUUUGUUUAAUGAGUCUGCGAGUCAGUGUUUGUGGCAAGACUAAGGGCUUCCGGCCCGGAGUCGCAGCGAAAGCAAGUCCGAACAGGGCGCAAUAAGUCGCAGGUACUGGACCCGAAGCGGAGGUGACCUACCCUUGGCCAGGUUGAAGCAUGGGUAAAACCAUGUGGAGGACCGAACAGGUGAACGUUGAAAAGUUCUCUGAUGAGCUGAGGGUAGGAGUGAAAGGCUAAUCAAACCCCGUGAUAGCUGGUUCUCUUCGAAAUGCAUUUAGGUGCAGCGUCACGUGCUGAUGCGCGGGGGUAGAGCACUGACAAGGCUAGGGGGCACACCCGCUUACCAAACCUUAUCAAACUCCGAAUACCGUGCAAUGGAACGUGGCAGUGAGACAGUGGGGGAUAAGCUUCAUUGUCGAGAGGGAAACAACCCAGACCAGCAGCUAAGGUGCCUAAAUAACGCUCAGUGGAAAGGAUGUGGGAUUACACAGACAGUGAGGAUGUUGGCUUAGAAGCAGCCACCAUUUAAAAAAUGCGUAAUAGCUUACUCAUCGAGUGAUCCUGCGCCGAAAAUGAUUGGCGAUCAAGCGUUAUACCGAAGCUCUGGACUUUGCCGCAAGGCAGAGUGGUAGAAGAGCGUUGCAUGCGCGUCGAAGGGUGAUGGCGACUGACCCUGGAGCACAUGCAAGUGAGUAUGCAGACAUGAGUAACGUUAAGCCGGGUGAAAUCCCCGGCCGCCGUAAACCCGAGGUUUCCAGGGCAACGUGUUUCGUCCCUGGGUUAGCCGGGACCUAAGCCGAGGCCGAGAGGCGUAGGCGAUGGACAUCAGGUUAAUAAUCCUGAGCUCGCGACCCUUAAACUGGGGGGACGCAUGAGAAAAGAUGACUAGGUUAUUGAAUUCCGAGUUGAGUCUACGGACUCAGCGCAUCAUUGGAUCGAGUGCCAAGAAAAGCCCCAGCGUAUGCUAAGCGACCCGUACCGCAAACCGACACAGGUGGGUGGGUAGAAUAUACCAAGGCGUAAGAGUGAAACCUGGUUAAGGAACUCGGCAAAUUAACCCCGUAACUUCGGAAGAAGGGGUGCCUGCAGCGAUGCAGGCCGCAGAGAAAUGGCCCAACCGACUGUUUAUCAAAAACACAGCACUCUGCAAAGACGCAAGUCGAAGUAUAGGGUGUGACACGUGACCAAUGCCGAAAGAUUAAGGCAAGGGGUUAGCCGCAAGGCGAAGCUCUGAACCCAAGUCCCGGUGAAUGUCGGCCGUAACUAUAACGGUCCUAAGGUAGCGAAAUUCCUUGUCGGGUAAGUUCCGACCUGCACGAAUCGUGAAACGAGUUGGGCACUGUCUCAACCAGGCGCUCAGUGAAAUUGUAGUGGCGGUGAAGAUGCCGCCUACCCGCAGAAGGACGGAAAGACCCUAUAGACCUUAACUGUAAGCUGUCAUUGUUUCUUCGGUUUUAAUGCUCAGAGUAAGUGGGAGACGCUGAAGACGCCCUUUAGGGGGCGUCCGAGUCAUCAAUGAGACACCACCCUUUGAAACUGGAGGAUCUAACCCUGAGCCGUGAAUCCGGCCAGAGGACCGUGUCAGCCGGUCAGUUUUACUGGGGCGGUAUCCUCCCAAAGAGUAACGGAGGAGCGCGAAGGUGGGCUCAGCCCGGUUGGCAACCGGGUGUCGAGUGCAUGGGCAUAAGCCCGCCUAACUGUGAGACCAACAAGUCGAGCAGAUGCGAAAGCAGGCCCAAGUGAUCCGGCGGUAGAAAGUGGAAUUGCCGUCGCUCAACGGAUAAAAGGUACCUUAGGGAUAACAGGCUGAUCACGCCCAAGAGUUCAUAUCGACGGCGUGGUUUGGCACCUCGAUGUCGGCUCGUCGCAUCCUGGGGCUGGAGCAGGUCCCAAGGGUUCGGCUGUUCGCCGAUUAAAGCGGCACGCGAGCUGGGUUCAGAACGUCGCGAGACAGUUCGGUCCUCUAUCCUCUGUGGGCGUUGGAAAAUUGAGGGGUUCAGACCUUAGUACGAGAGGACCGGGUCUGACGCACCACUGGUGCAUCGGUUGUACUGUCAAGUGCAUGGCCGAGUAGCUAAGUGCGGACGGGAUAAGCGCUGAAAGCAUCUAAGCGCCAAGCCCUUCCCAAGAUGAGUUUUCCCUACAGGUUCGUGGAAGACCACCACGUUGAUAGGUCGCAGGUGUAAGUGCAGCAAUGUAUUGAGCCAAGCGAUACUAAUUACCAAUUGACUUCAUCAU
rnacentral:rRNA from 1 species